GUAAGGGAUAUUGGGCAAUGGGCGAAAGCCUGACCCAGCAACGCCGCGUGGAGGAUGACGGUUUUCGGACUGUAAACUCCUUUUGACAGGGACGAGGAAGGACGGUACCUGUCGAAUAAGUCUCGGCUAACUACGUGCCAGCAGCCGCGGUAAAACGUAGGAGGCGAGCGUUAUCCGGAUUUACUGGGCGUAAAGGGUGUGCAGGCGGGUCGUUAAGUAGUGCAUGAAAGCCACAGGCUCAACCUGUGGAGGAUGUGCUAGACUGGCGGCAUCGAGUGUGUGAGAGGGAUGUGGAAUUCCGGGUGUAGUGGUGAAAUGCGUAGAGAUCCGGAGGAACACCAGAGGCGAAGGCGGCAUCCUGGCACACAACUGACGCUGAGACACGACAGCAUGGGGAGCGAACGGGAUUAGAAACCCUAGUAGUCC
rnacentral:rRNA from 1 species